rnacentral:rRNA from 1 species
GGCUAACGCUGGCGGCGUGUCUUAGCCAUGCAAGUCGAGCGGACUUAUGGGGUAACUUAUAAGUCAGCGGCGGACGGCGGAGUAACACGUAGCUAACCUACCCUCUGGACGGGGAUAACCUACCGAAAGGUGGGCUAAUACCCGAUGUAGUCAUCCUGUAUAGGGGUGAUGAAAGGUGGGCUUCUGUUUACAAGCUCAUGCUGGAGGAGGGGGCUGCGGCCUAUCAGGUAGUUGGUAGGGUAAUAGCCUACCAAGCCGAUGACGGGUAGCCGGCCUGAGAGGGUGACCGGCCCGAGGGGCACUGAGAUACGGGUCCCACUCCUACGGGAGGCAGCAGGCUAGAAAUUUGGGCAAUGGGGGAAACCCUGACGGAGCGACGCCGCGUGAGGGAAGAAGCCCUUCGGGGUGUAAACCUCUUUUCUCGGGGAAGAGUAGAGACGGUACCCGAGGAAUAAGCCCCGGCUAACUACGUG